CCUACGGGAGGCAGCAGUAAGGAAUAUUGGGCAAUGGACGCAAGUCUGACCCAGCCAUGCCGCGUGAAGGAAGACGGCCCUAUGGGUUGUAAACUUCUUUUCUCAGGGGGUAAACUUCGGAACGUGUUCCGGACUGAAAGUACCUGAGGAAUAAGCAUCGGCUAACUCCGUGCCAGCAGCCGCGGUAAUACGGAGGAUGCGAGCGUUAUCCGGAUUCAUUGGGUUUAAAGGGUGCGCAGGCGGGUAUAUAAGUCGGAGGUGAAAUUCUGAUGCUCAACAUCAGCCGUGCCUUCGAUACUGUAUAUCUAGAGUCAAGUUGGAGUAGGCGGAAUGUGUUGUGUAGCGGUGAAAUGCUUAGAUAUAACACAGAACACCGAUCGCGAAGGCAGCUUACUAAACUUUGACUGACGCUCAUGCACGAAAGCGUGGGGAUCAAACAG
rnacentral:rRNA from 1 species